rnacentral:rRNA from 1 species
AUGGAGCCCCAGAGCAAGAUUCGCGACGAGGACGACGAGAUGGAAACCGGAGGGGAGCUUUCGACAGGAAGGAGCAGCGGCGAGUCCCUGCAUCUUGCCGCCGCAGUCGAGACCGAGUGGAGGAUCACCGGCGACUCCGACGAGAACUCGGUGUUCAUCCUGGAGGAGACCGUGCACAGAUUGGUUAGCGACAUCAUGCCGGAAUUCGAAGCAAAGGUCGGCGACGUCGCUUCAGUGCUCGAAGCAGAGGAGACCCGGAAAGAGGCACUGGCGGCGCUGAGCUUCGGCUUCAGACUGCAGUUGUUCUCCGAGCAGAUCGAUGAGCUGCGGCACGAGAUGUGCAAGUUGCUGAGGUCGUUCUCGCCGGAAAACAAAGAUAUAAGGAGCACCAUGAUCAAAUUUAUCUCUGAGCCGUACCUAGGCCGUAUCUGCAAAUUGCAGUGGAUCUCUGAACGUGUCAGUAUGCUCCAGCGAAUGGACCCAGACUUCGACUCCAAAGUGAAGUCAACAAUCAUCAAGCUGAAAUCGGAAUCCUUCUUGUUAGCCAUGGAGGAGUUGAAGGAGGAGGAGGAGGAGGAGGAGGAGAGCGGCAGGGAAGGAAUCGCCGGAGAAGGUCGUGGAGACCAAGAAGUUUCCAUGGAGAUGGAGGAGAAGAGAUUCGCUUCCUACCGCCGCUGCUGGGAACGUUUAUGGGGCAAUGACCGCAGCUUCGAAGACCAGACAUUAUUGAGCCCCAUGCUCUUUACACAUUGCACAGCUAGCCGCAUCCCGAAUGAAGCUGUCGCCGGGAGUACCUUGCAGAUCCACUCCAUCAAAAUCUCAACAGCAAAAGAGCUCACAUUGCCACUGGAGGUGUAUGGGGUGGUCGCAGUCCGAGAUGCUGUGGACCAUCAUCGCAACCCUCUAUUCCUUCGUUCAAGAACGCAUUGCCAAAUCCUUGAAGAAAAUGUAUGUAUGGAUUCAUUUUUGCGCUUGACUGGCCCGGUUCGUGCAAUUGUGUCGAUGGAUACUGUUUACAUCGAAAUCCAACUAAAAGUAAAGGGCGCAACAAAAUCUGAAGAUACAACAUUGAUCAGUACAUUCGGCUUUUACAAUGGUGACAGUUCUGGUACCUUUCUCCUGAAAAACAGUUUGUGCACAGUGGAGUUAUGCUAUGAGCAACUUAAACAGUCGGUCCAGGCCACUAUCAUGGGUGUGUUUGUUACACCCAAACAGGAAUCAUUGCCUUUUCCAUAUGGUGGCCGAGUUAUUUGCUCUUCACUGCCUCAGGAUGAUAAUGAAGAUAUCGCUGGGCUUCCAUCUAGGGAAGUCUUGCUGCUUGAUUCGAAAGGUGGAAGAAUGUCUCUGACUAAUAAUGGCUACCUUAGUCUGGCAAGAAGUGUAGUUUCUGUGGAGUUAAAAGGAAAGCUGCAAGUCCUCAUAAUGGCUGAAUCACCAUCACAAAAUGCUGAGAUUGCUGCGCAAUUCCUCUUCACACCCGAAAAAUGCAACAUAAGUAAAGGUGAAUGUUACCUCCCUGAUGGCUCUAAGGUUGAGAUUACUGUUGCUUGGUCCCUCAUUCCCUCGACGAUGCUACAGUCAGGUGACAGUCGUGAGGACAGUGGGAUGGUGACCGGAGGAUAUUCAAAGGAAAGGACUGGCGGGUCCAUGUUAAGUGAGGAGGUAUGUAAGGCUGGAAUCUUAAUGCAGGAGAGUAUCCGCUGGGUCCAGGCCCGGGAGGAGAAGAUGUUAGAGAUUGGACUUUGCAACUCCGUGGAACACUCGAAUCUUCUGAAGUUGAAAUUUGAUAUGUUGGAGUUGUCGGAAAAGAUCUUCGGUCAGGCCGAGUACGAGACCCAUUUCAAAAUUCGCGACAAGGGCAGAAUGUUGAAGACACUGAGCAAGAUUGGUGACGGGGGCAAAUUGUUCUCCAAGCAGUUCAUGGAGCCGCUGGUCAAUUUCUCAAUUUCUGUAGCCAGAUCUGUCAGAAACAUGAUUGAGGAGGAGGUAGAGACUGAGACGGCAGGGGUGGUGCCGAUGGUCAGCUUCAAAUUACAUUUGCUCUCCAGGCAGUUUGAUGAGCUGUGGGACAACAUGGGCCAGCUAGUCUCAACAGAAGCAAAAUUUCUAGCGAUAUGCAUGCUUAUUCAUGAGCCCUUCGCAUGCUAUUGCUCCACACUGAAGUUUAUCUCUGCAGUUUUCAACCGGCUUUGUCAAUGGGUGCCAGAUUUGACAUCGGCAAUGGGAUCGAUAAGGGAACACGAGGAGAUAGAGGACGGGGAUAAGGAUAGGAAGGUUGUGAGUGAGUAUGAGGAGGAGAAGAAGGCUGAGGAGUUCUAUUUCAAUGCCCACCGUGAAAACUGGGAAUUUAGUCGCAGCAACUUUGGCAGCUUUGAAGACCCAACGGUAUUGAGCCCCUUGCUCUUUACCCACUACAUAGCAGGCCACACCCAACUGGGUGCUGAAGUCGGGAGGACUAUGCAGGUCUACUCUAUUAAAGUCACAGAAACAGAAGGCUAUGCCCUUGAGUGGCCGCUGAAGGUAUACGGUGUAGUCGGUGCACGAGAUGUUGUCGACUAUCGUCGCAACAUUCUCUUCCUUCGCGCUAGGGAUGACUGCCAAAUCCUCACAAGAGAGGAUUCUUUUUUGCACUUGACUGGCCCUUCUCGUGCAAUUAUGUCUGGUGGCAUAUUGGAGAACAAUGUUACUAUUGAAGUCCACCUAACUCUAAAGGACACAGUGGAGUCAAAGGAUAGAACAUUGAUCAGUAAAGCCUUCGUUUAUGACGAAGAUGAUCUUGGUAGUGGUGAUGUUAUUUCUACGCGUCUUCUCCAGGGCCUUUGUUCAAUAGAGUUAUGCUGUGAGCAUCUUGAACAGUCAGUCCAAGCCACUAUCGUCGGUGCUUGUGUUGUAAAGGGCCCAUUGCGUUGUGGCAAUGGCAUCAAGGUCGUUUGCUCCGCUCUACCUGAAGGUAAAACUGAAGGCAGUGUCAAGUGCCCAUCUGGGCGUGUUUUGCUGCUUGGUUCACAAGCUGGAACAGUGCCUGUGGGUGGUUAUCUAGAUCUGUCAAGGCAAGCUGUAUCCGUAAAAUCAAGAGGAAGACUUGAAAUUCUCAUACAGGCCGGACAAAUCAGUGGAAGUGUCGUCUUCAAAGCUGAAGACAGCAACAUAAGUCGAGAAAGAUGUCGUCUUGGUGAUUGUGAAGUGGAGAUAACUGUUGCUUGGUCCCUCCUUGUUGAAAGCCAGCAUGAUAUCUCGCGCGCCGUCCGCCACCUCCUCGCCGACUUCCUCCCCGCCUCCGCGCCCCAUCUCUCCGCCACCGACCUCCUCAAGCUCUGGAAGGGCCUCUUCUUCUGCUUCUGGCACGCCGACAAGCCGCUCUACCAGGCCGACCUCGCCUCCCGCCUCGCCGCCGCCGUAUCCACCGCCGCGACGCCCGCCGUCGCCGCCGACUUCCUCGCGGCCUACCUCGCCACCAUCCGCCGCGAGUGGUCCGCCAUCGACGUCCACCGCCUCGACAAGUUCUACCUCCUUAACCGCCGGUUCCUCCACCACGCCUUCCUCUUCCUCGGCGCCCGCUCCUUCGCGCCCGACGUCACCGCCCAGAUCGUGGCCGUCAUCUCGGAGAAGGCCGUCCUCGCGGAGGCCGACAACGCCACCGGUCGUGGACUCGGGUACCAUGUCGCCGAUGUGUUUCUCGACGAGAUCUUGCCCGUGCUCCCGAUUAGCUUGCAGUCGAUGGAGCUGCUGUUGGCCCCCUUCUUCACUGUGCUGGAGAAGUCGACCGACAGGGUGCUGGUGAGUAAGGUCAGGUCCAGCUUGUUUGAGAGGUUUCUGGAGAGCGGCAGUCAGCUGCUUGAGAUGACGAGGAAAGGUGAAGAGGCGGAGAAGGGGAGCGUGGAGGAGAAGCUUGGGAAGGUCGGGCUGUUGUUUGGAUUCAGCAAGAGGUUCCUGGAUAUUGGGGCGAGUGCUGAGACCGUGCAGGGAAAUCGGAAAGUGGUGUUUGGGCUGAGGGAUGCUUUUGUUAAGCUCGAAAAGGGAUUGGAGCUGUCUGGGGUUAAGAUCUCUGAGCCAGAGUUUCAGGGCACUCAGGUGCCAAUGGUGGCAGUGGUAGAAAAUGGCAUGGAUUUGGAUGAGGCAAAGGUGGAAAAGAAGAGGAAGAAGAAAAAGGCAAAGAAGGCUGCAUUAGUUGAAGGUGGGGAGGAGGAGGAGGUGAAGGCUCCGAAGCAAGAUAAGAAGGUGAAGAAAGACAAGAACAAGAAGGAGAAAAAAGAAAAGAAGAAGAAAAAUAAGGUUGAGGAUAGUGAUGGAGGGGAUAGCAGUGAGCAGAGUAUAGAUGCCACAUCAGAGGACCAACAGAUGGGCGAUGACACUGAUGCCAUUACAUUUGAUGAGGCUUUGAUGUCCAAUCUUCAAAAGCAGUUUGAGAAGGCUGCUGCAGAAGCCGGGAUGCCGGUGACACCAGUUACUGCUAAAGUGGCAAAGAAGAGGAAGCGCUCAAAAUCUUCUGAUAGGUCAUCAGAAGUUUCUGGUGGAGGUGUUGGUAGCGAAGGUAAUGUUCCUGCUCAGGAUGGAGAUAAGAGUGGUAAGAAAGUGAGGUUCUCAAUGAAGAGUAAUCUAGUUUGGAACCCUCCAACUCCUUUACCACCACAGUGCUUGAGGCUACCACCAUCUGCUACUCCAAGAGGGAGUGCACUAAAAAGUGGAGUUCGGCCUGGGCCUAUAAAGGAAAGCUCCACUCCGGUGAAGAAGGCAAAGGCAAAAGCAAAGUCUGCAAAGAAGUUGUUGAAGAAGAGCCCUUCCUCGGCUGUGAAGCGCUUGCGGAAGUUGCAAACCUUCUCUGCGUGA